AGGGUUUGAUCAUGGCUCAGAUUGAACGCUGGCGGCAUGGCUAAAACAUGCAAGUCGAACGAUGAAAGCACCUUCGGGUGUGCAUGAAGUGGCGAAAGGGCGAGGAAUACGUUCCUACGUACCCCAAGGUCAGGGAUAGCCCCGGGAAACUGGGAGUAAUACCUGAUAAUAUCUCCGGAUCAAAGGCUUCGGCCUCCUUGGGAGCGGGGAACGCCCUAUCAGGUUGUUGGUGAGGUAACGGCUCACCAAGCCUAAGACGGGUAGCGGGUGUGAGAGCAUGACCCGCCGCAUCGGGACUGAGACACUGUCCGGACUCCUACGGGAGGCUGCAGUAACGAAUAUUCCGCAAUGCGCGAAAGCGUGACGGAGCAAUGCCGCGUGUGGGAUGAAUCUCUUCGGAGUGUAAACCACUGUCAGAGUUUAGGAACUCAAUGACCAGACUCAAAGGAAGGGCCGGCUAACUUCGUGCCAGCAGCCGCGGUAAUACGAAGGGCCCGAGCGUUAAUCGGAAUCACUGGGCUUAAAGCGUGCGUAGGCGGACUUGAGGGCACCUUGUGAAAUCCCUCGGCUCAACCGAGGAACUGCAGGGUGAACCAUGAGUCUCGAGACAGGUAGAGGUUGUCGGAACGAUAGGUGGAGUGGUGAAAUGCGUUGAUAUCUAUCGGAACGCCAAUGGAGAAGUCAGGCAACUGGGCCUGUUCUGACGCUGAGGCACGAAAGCGUGGGGAGCGAACGGGAUUAGAUACCCCGGUAGUCCACGCCGUAAACGAUGCGUACUAGGUUGGGGAAGCUCUGACGCUGUUCCCGGCUGAAGCAAAAGUAUUAAGUACGCCGCCUGGGGAGUACGGUCGCAAGGCUAAAACUCAAAGGAAUUGACGG
rnacentral:rRNA from 1 species